CAAGCAGGAUGAAUGAUCGCGGCUGCAUACGUCGAAAGACCGCAGGUGAGGAAAGUCCGGGCUUCACAGGGCAGGAUGCCGGAUAACGUCCGGUGGAGGCGACUCCCAGGAAAGUGCAACAGAAAUAUACCGCCAGUGCAGGCUGGUAAGGGUGGAAAGGCAGUGUAAGAGACUACCGCUUUUCUGGUAACAGGGAAGGCACAUGUAAACCCCAUCCGAAGCAAGACCGAGCAGAAGCAGUGACGUGGCCCGCCAGCUUCAGGUAGGUUGCUGGAGGCGGCUGGCGACAGCCGUCCUAGAUAGAUGAUCAUUCGCGACAGAACCCGGCUUAUAGUCCUGCUUGGAUU
rnacentral:RNase_P_RNA from 1 species